AGAAAAUGAAAAAUAUUAAAAAGAAUUUAGAACCGGUAAUGACCGGUUAUACAUAAAAUUUACCCUAACCCAUUCAUUCUGGUAAAAAAACUGUCUUUCUUCUCUCGUCUUCUUCACUGCCUAACUCCCCCGGUUUCUCCUUCGCCUUCCGUCGCCACCUGUUUCCCACACUCCGAUGCCGAUAAAACUCCGGCGUGACUAAGAAUUUGAACAGCCCCAGAAAUCUUCAUUUGUUCUCCUCUCUUCACAGCCAAACCUCCCCUGUUUCGAAUUGGCCUUCCGUCACCGCCUAUUAUCCCGCACUCCAACGACGUUCGACUCUCCGAUGCGACCAGAAAUUUUAACAUCCCUUCGCAUUUUAUUCUCUUUGUUUCUUCGACGCCAACCCCCCCCCCCGGCUUCGGGUUCACCUUCCGUCGCCACCUAUUAUCCCGCUCCGGCCCUGUUCCACACUCCGUUCUGGUGCAAAACUCCAACAUAUCUUAAGUUGUAAUGGCAAGUGGAAAGUCGAAGAAAGUGCAGAAACCAGUAUCAUCAUAUUUACAUUAUGCGGAAGUUACAUUAUUUGUUAUCAUUAUGAAAUAGUGCAAGUGCCCAAGAAGGAAAUGUCAGGAGAAAAGUAAGGAGAAACAGAAAUUGCACGUACAUGAACGUCGAAAGUUGGCCAGAGUGGUCAAAACUUUUGGAUUCAGAGAAGAAGCCUUUCAAACAAAAGAUGACCACAGAGAAAGUAGAAUACGAAAAAAAAAGAGUUAGAAUGUGAAGAACAAGGUGGAAAGAAUAAGGUAUAAUAUAGGUUCUAGUUAUACAUGAGCAGUAUGCAAACAAAGUUAGUUUUCCAUAUUCUACUUUCUCUAGUGUAGGUCUUGUUUACACGGUAUAGUCAUAUGUACUUUACGAAAUAAUAUAAUUAUAUAAUCCAAAAUACUUGCAUACAUACAUAUGUAUUGCAUACUUACAUAAAAAUAGUUGGUUAAAAUCAAAUAUUAAUCCUAAGAUUUAGGAUUUAAAUAUUCAUACCUAAUCGUGUAUUCUUCUUCCCACCUAAAUUGGUUGUCCAGUGUUGAAAUUCCACCAAAUUGAUGAAUGAAAAUUUUGGUUUUCCCUUAUUUUUGUAGCUGAGAAGAGGAACUACGAAUAUAUUUUGAAUGAGUAGUUGAAGGUAGUUUUUAAGAUUCAAUUCCGUUGAUAUAUGUAAUUGUUGCUUUCCCUUAGAAGUUUUGGUAUAUACCAAAAUGUCUUAGGAUGAACUCUUUGGUAUGCUCUUAGAAAUUUUUGUGUAUCAUUAGAAAUUUUGGUAUACUUAUAUACGAAAAUUUUGAACUCGUUAGGAAUUUUGGCAUGGUCUUAGAAAUUAGAAAUAUUGGAAGAUACCAAAAUUCUAACAUUGUUUCCUUUGAAAUUUUGGUCCGGAGGUGCGUGGAAUUUUAAUAUAUUAAACAAAUUUUUUUUUUUUUUGGGGGGUGAACCAUCAAAAACAAAACACAACGUUUUGUUCUCAUACAAUAAUAACCAAUGUUUAGGGUUUCUUCACUAGCCACAAACAUUUUCAUCUCUUUCCCUUAAGCAGCUCCAACCUCUCCGACGAACUGUUGCCUACCAACUCCAUUAUCAGCUCCUUUCUCACCAUAUGCUCUACUAAUUACUUCAAUGCCGCUACCUAUUAUGCCACGCACUCCUUUUUGUUUUUUGCAGGACUCUUUCAAUUCUCAAAUGGUGAAUUGCGUUAUCUCGCCAAUCCAACCACAAGCUCCACCAAUUACUUUGACACCACCACCUAUUCUGCCACACUCUUUUUUUCGUAGUACUCUUUUGAUUCUCCAAUAAGUGAUUUCAAAUUUGUACUCUUCAAUUUUAGUUUCUUCCUUGAAAAUGAUUCAUAUGUAAUAAUUUUAGGGUAUUUCUUAGUAUAAAUUUUGUUGUUUUUCUUACUA